CACAAAUGGUCUUUGAUUCUGCUCCCACGAGCCUCCAUGACCGUUGACUACUGUUGAAAUACAUCUUCAACCAGCCCAAAGUUUGACAGCACGGGAGGGGGGAGAUUUAGAGACCCGGCUAGAGACCCGGCUGGGACUGACCGGUUUAAACUCUGAUUUCAAUUUUAAUAGGAUGCCGGGAGAAGGGAAAGAUCUUCCCUUUGGUGAGUGACAGGGCUAAUUAGGAUCAGUUGCCUACCUGCCUUUAGGGCAGCAAGAUUAAGUCAAAACUCCUCAGCUCUCCUCGGAGACUUCCUAUGAGCAGAGCUUCACGCAUCUCUGCAUGUUCAUCAGUCACAUUCCCUUAGAUGAAUAAUAAUAUCUAACGCUUCCAGAAGGCACUGUGUGCUAGGCUUGAUUUUCAUAGGAAUGUGUAUUUGGGAAGAUAACUAGAGAAAAAUCUGAGUCUAUCUGCUGGAAACAGAUGCUGGUGUUCUCUUAGCCUGGGGAAAAGAUGAAUCCUUCCAGCCCACACCAAAAGAUGUGGUCCAAGUCAGGAUCCAAGAGAGUCAACAAGAUGUCAAGUCAAGCCAAAUUCACAGUGCCACAGAAUCCAAUCAGGAGGUAAGGAUUGAUAAAAGCUGGGAGACUGAAAUAAAGAAUCAGAGAAUGUGCCAAGAAGGGGAACAACUGCAAGAUGAUGGUUGUGUCCAUAUGAUUCUCCUUUCUGAGGGUCAGGUACCAGUCAUGUUCC
rnacentral:lncRNA from 1 species